GACGAACGCUGGCGGCGUGCUUAACACAUGCAAGUCGAACGAAGUGGCGAACGGGUGAGUAACGCGUAAACAACCUGCCCUUCCGAGGGGGACAACAGUUGGAAACGACUGCUAAUACCGCAUACUGAGGGAGGGGCAUGCGUCUGAUUAGCUAGUUGGAGGGGUAACGGCCCACCAAGGCGAGGAUCAGUAGCCGGUCUUAGAGGGUGAACGGCCAAAGUGGGACUUAGACACGGCCCGGACUCCUACGGGAGGCAGCAGUGGGGAAUCUUCCGCAAUUGACGGAAGUUUUACGGGGCAACGCCGCGUGAGUGGUGACGGCCUUCGGGUUGGAAAGCUCUUUUAAUCGGGACGCGGUACCGGAAUAGAAAGCCACGGCUAACUACGUGCCAGCAGCCGCGGUAAUAC
rnacentral:rRNA from 1 species